AUUGAUUUUCAGGUCACUAGGUCAAAGGUCAAGGUCACAAUAACCCGAAAUAUUAAAAUGGUUUCUGGAUGAUAACUCAAGAACACUUAUGCCUAGGAUCAUGAAGCUUCAUAGAUACAUUGAUCAUGACUCGCAGAUGACCCCUAUUGAUUUUCAGGUCACUAGGUCAAAGGUCAAGGUCACGGUGACCCAAAGCAGUAAAAUGGUUUCCGGAUGAUAACUCAAGAACACUUAUGCCUAGGAUCAUGAAACUUCAUAGAUACAUUGAUCAUGACUCGCAGAUAACCCCUAUUGAUUUUCAGGUCACUAGGUCAAAGGUCAAGGUCACGAUGACCCGAAAUAGUAAAAUGGUUUCCGGAUGAUAACUCAAGAACGCUUAGGCCUAGGAUCAUGAAACUUCAUAGGUACAUUGAUCAUGACUCGUAGAUGACCCCUAUUGAUUUUCAGGUCACUAGGUCAAAGGUCAAGGUCAUGGUGACCCGAAAUAGUAAAAUGGUUUCCAGAUGAUAACUCAAGAACGCUUAUGCCUAGGAUCAUGAAACUUCAUAGGUACAUUGAUCAUGACUCGAAGAUGACCCCUGUUGAUUUUCAGGUCACUAGGUCAAAGGUCAAGGUCACGGUGACCUGAAAUAGUAAAAUGGUUUCUGGAUGAUAACUCAAGAACGCUUAUGCCUAGGAUCAUGAAACUUUAUAGGUAUAUUGAUCAUGACUCGCAGCUGACCCCUAUUGAUUAUCAGGUCACUAG